rnacentral:rRNA from 1 species
UACGUAGGGUGCGAGCGUUGUCCGGAAUCAUUGGGCGUAAAGCGCGCGUAGGCGGCUCGGUAAGUCCGUUGUGAAAGUCAAAGGCUCAACCUUUGAAUGCCGAUGGAUACUGUCGAGCUAGAGUCCGGAAGAGGCGAGUGGAAUUCCUGGUGUAGCGGUGGAAUGCGCAGAUAUCAGGAGGAACACCAAUAGCGAAGGCAGCUCGCUGGGACGGUACUGACGCUAAGGCGCGAAAGCGUGGGGAGCGAACAGG